UCAUAACUCAUCAUUUUUAGAGACUAGAGAAGAGAGUAUCCAAUGCAAAAAUUUUCCAUGACUUAUUAUAUAAGAAUUGCAGAGAAUUCCAUAACUAGUUAAUCUUCCCAUAGCAAUAUUUUUGGCAAAUAUACUCUUAAUACAACACAUAUCAACCAAGCAACUUAUCUAAAUGAGUUCAUUUGCAUUAUGUAUUAGAGAGAAUCUCCACUCUAAUUGAGUUAGGCAGAUUUGUGAUGAAGGUGAGUGGUGAUGUAAGCUUUGAAAAUAAAUCUCCACUCCAAAUAAAGUGAUAACAUGAAAAUGGGUCUGCAUUGAAAUAGCAGGUAUUUUNNNNNNNNNNNNNNNNNNNNNNNNNNNNNNNNNNNNNNNNNNNNNNNNNNNUCCUUCCUUCCUACAAGGAGAGUAGUGAAAAAUUUAAUAUACUUUUCUUUUGCAAGCAUACAAUAGCAAUUUAAGAGUCUCUGUUGCCUAAUAAACAUAUAAUAUAUAGUAAUUGUUGUUUUUUAUAUUGAAAAAUAAUUUUCUGAAAAAAUAAGCCUAAAAAAUCCAAUUAAUAUUGUGACCAAUAUUUCAAAUGGAAAAAUCAAUUGAAAGUAACUUGAUCGGACUUCAAAUAUGGUUCACAUAUAUAUAUAUAUAUAUAUCCAUUUUUGAGGUCCAAGAGAAAAGAAAGUUACAUAGAAUAGUCUUUUGAAAUAUAUUUUUCUUUAUUUUUUUCAAUGUUUGUUCAGGUGCCAUAUUGGGAAAAAUUUAUUCUCCUCCAACCAUUUCUCUGAGGUGCCAUAUGUUUACAGUAUAACUGCAUGGUUCCUCCAAUUCAGAUGACGUGUCCUUCUAAAGCUGGUUACCAGAAAAUCAGACCUGACCUGCUAGGGAGUGUAACGAACAUCAUUGAAAAUCUUAUACUACUAUUUUUUUUUUUUUUUGAAGUUAAAUCUUAUACUCUAUACUAUUUCAUAUUAUAGUUACAUUUAUAUAUUAGCACUAUAAUAUUCAAGUUAGAUCAACUAAUAUUGAAUACUUAAAAUUAAAAGUAUAGACUAU
rnacentral:lncRNA from 1 species